UACGGGGGGGGGCAAGCGUUGUUCGGAAUUACUGGGCGUAAAGCGCACGUAGGCGGUCCUUUAAGUCGGGUGUGAAAGCCCUCGGCUCAACCGAGGAAGUGCAUUCGAAACUGGGGGACUUGAAUACUGGAGAGGAUGGCGGAAUUCCCGGUGUAGAGGUGAAAUUCGUAGAUAUCGGGAGGAACACCAGUGGCGAAGGCGGCUCACUGGACCGGAACUGACGCUGAGGCGCGAAAGCGUGGGGAGCAAACAGG
rnacentral:rRNA from 1 species